AUGACACCAAGAAUAUUAGCAUGCUUCUCUUCCAGGCUGACACACAAAUUUGUGAAUUAUUCCCUCUUUU
rnacentral:snRNA from 1 species